GGGGAGUACGGUCGCAAGAUUAAAACUCAAAGGAAUUGACGGGGACCCGCACAAGCGGUGGAUGAUGUGGAUUAAUUCGAUGCAACGCGAACAACCUUACCUACCCUUGACAUGUCCGGAAGCCCGGUGAAAGCUGGGGGUGCUCGCAAGAGAACCGGAACACAGGUGCUGCAUGGCUGUCGUCAGCUCGUGUCGUGAGAUGUUGGGUUAAGUCCCGCAACGAGCGCAACCCUUGUCCUUAGUUGCUACGCAAGGGCACUCUAAGGAGACUGCCGGUGACAAACCGGAGGAAGGUGGGGAUGACGUCAAGUCCUCAUGGCCCUUAUGGGUAGGGCUUCACACGUCAUACAAUGGUCGGUACAGAGGGUAGCCAACCCGCGAGGGGGAGCCAAUCCCAGAAAGCCGAUCGUAGUCCGGAUCGCAGUCUGCAACUCGACUGCGUGAAGUCGGAAUCGCUAGUAAUCGCGGAUCAGCAUGUCGCGGUGAAUACGUUCCCGGGUCUUGUACACACCGCCCGUCACACCAUGGGAGUGGAAUCCGCCAGAAGUAGGUAGUCUAACCGCAAGGAGGACGCUUACCACGGUAGGUUUCAUGACUGGGGUGAAGUCGUAACAAGGUAGCCGUAUCGGAAGGUGCGGCUGGAUCACCUC
rnacentral:rRNA from 1 species